rnacentral:misc_RNA from 1 species
UGAGUCCCCUGUGAAUUCCGCCCGUCUGUUUCCUCCUGUCGCUUGAAUCCAGUAGCAAUUAGAGUUAUGCUUACUUGACCACUGAGGGACUGAUCAAUGACAGCUCCAAAUAUUAAAUUUGCACCUGGAUCAACGAGAUCAUAGAUCACUUCGGCGGCAGCAUUCACCUCAUACAAAGUUAAAUCACUUCCUCCAGUUAUGUUCCAUACAAUUCCAGUAGCUCUUUCAAUUCCAAUAUCUAGUAACGGUGACUGAAUUGCAUUUAAUGCGGCAUCUCUUGCCCUUGUCUUACCUGUCGCGGUUCCGAUACCCAUUAGAGAUGAACCUGCAUUUUCCAUAAUUGCUCUCACAUCGGCGAAGUCAACAUUAA